GAUGAAGAACGCAGCGAAAUGCGAUAAGUAGUGUGAAUUGCAGAAUUCAGUGAAUCAUCGAAUCUUUGAACGCCCAUUGCGACCCUUGGUAUUCCAUGGGGCAUGCCUGUUCGAGCGUCAUUUGUACCUUCAAGCUCUGCUUGGUGUUGGGUGUUUGUCUCGCCUCUGCGUGUAGACUCGCCUCAAAAUAAUUGGCAGCCGGCGUAUUGAUUUCGGAGCGCAGUACAUCUCGCGCUUUGCACUCAUAACGACGACGUCCAAAAGUACAUUUUUACACUCUUGACCUCGGAUCAGGUAGGGAUACCCGCUGAACUUAAGCAUAUCAAUAAGCGGAGGA
rnacentral:misc_RNA from 1 species